GACGAGGGGUCCAAGCGUUGUUCGGAAUCAUUGGGCGUAAAGCGCGUGUAGGCGGCCAGAAAAGUCCGCUGUGAAAACUCGAGGCUCAACUUCGAGCUGUCGGUGGAAACUUUCUGGCUAGAGUCCGGAAGAGGAGAAUGGAAUUCCUGGUGUAGCGGAGAAAUGCGCAGAUAUCAGGAAGAACACCCGUGGCGAAGGCGGUUCUCUGGGACGGUACUGACGCUGAGACGCGAAAGCGUGGGGAGCGAACAGG
rnacentral:rRNA from 1 species